AUGUUUAACCUGUGUGUGUGUUUGUGUGCGUGUGUGUGUGUGUGUGUGUGCGUGUGUGUGUGUGUGUGUGUGUGCGCUUGUGCGUGUGCGUGUGUGUGUUUGUACAUGUCAGAGUCGGAGCUGACGGACGAGGUGUCGUGUCUCUCGGACUCCACCUCCGAGGAGCAGUCCCUCAGCUCCUACACCUCGGAGUCCUUCGAUGACAACGCUUCCAUAGUGACAGUCAUACGUCUAGUCAACGAUGCCGUUGAUGAUAUUGAAAGUGAAGUGUCCAACAUGGACAAAGAGCAGCAGCGGAACAGCCCUGCGUGCAGCUGGGACUCUUCCAGCCAGAGUACGAGCUGGCUGUCACCGGCACGUCUGCGUCCAGCAGAGGUGGGGUCCCACUGCGACCUCAGCGACGCCCAGCAGAACAUCAGACGGGGGGGCAGCACGCGCUCCCUCCAGCUGGACUACCGAGCACCGGGCCGCGGCGCGGACCGCGGCCGGGAGCGGGGCCGGGACUCCGGGAGGAGGGCCUUCCAGUGGGAGAGGAAUCAGUCGGGCGAGUGGGAGCGGAGACGCGUCCCGGACAGAGAUGACAAGAGGCGGCAGGACGGGGAAGGAGAGGGCAGAGGCGUGGGGGGGCGCCAGGACCACAGAGACCCUCAGCAGGUGCACAGCCACGACAGCGAGGGCAGCUCCUCGCCCGUUUACGAGGAAUACCGAGAGUGCGGCCGCGACCCGGAGGGCGGCGAGGGCCGAGAGAGCCUGUACGACACUCUGCCCCCGACCAGGCGAGCCUACGAAGGGUACCCGCCGAGCCCCCCGGGCCUCCACCUGCACCCGGCUCAACUCCUGCCCCCCCUCAGGGCGUGGGAUUUACAGACAGGCGAGUGGAGGCAAUCGCAGGAGGAGAAUCGCGGCGGGCUCGACGCCGGCCACCUGGCGGGCUCCGGGGACGAGCUGGAGAGACUGCUGAACCUGGUGUCGCUCCGAGCGCGGAGGGCCACGCGAGUGAACAGAGCGUCCACCGCAUCCGAGCCCCCGGCCGACUGGGACGGAUUUAAAUGAGCACAAAAAGAAAACUGUGUUUAAGACAAAAACUAAAACGAUUUAAUAUUCCUUUAUUUAUUCGAGUGGCGGUGGCCACUCUCUCUCUCUCUCUCUCUCUUGAUUAGACCUGACAUUUAUAAUACCACACCGUUGAUCUGCCACCUAAAGAAUUAUUAAAAGAGAAUAUUACCAUAUAUACUGUUAUGAUCCCACAUUAUUAUCCCGCUGUAAGCAAACACUAAUCCACCAGCAAUCCCCCCGGCUCUGUUUCUGAGCUGGAGGGAAGAAAAAAAAGAGGAAAUAUAUGUGUUCUCCAGACGCACCUUCUCGUACCUGCGCUGUGUGAGCCCGUGAGAGUCAUUGGCCGAAAAUCAAUGCCGUUACAUUUAUUAUUUAUAGAACCGCUGGUGCACGGCGUUUAUCAACAGCAAAAUAUGAAAGGGAGCCAGUGUGUCUGUGUUUCAUGUGCUGCCAGUUGUUGUGUACAUAUGUUCUGUCAUAUGCAUUUCCUACAUUGUCCUGCUGGAUCACACAAACAAGCAUUUUGUAUUCACGGAGGAGUCUGUAAACGCCGCCGCCGCCGCCGCCGCCAAACAAGUGAAUAAAGUAUAAGUCUUCAAUUAAUAAUCUGUAGAAUAAUUAAAUGAUUUAAUUAAAGAUCCCCCCUGGUAUUGGCUUCUGGUCCUAAUCCUGAUGCCAUCUGAGAAGCUGUGUCACGGAUGUGGGCGAAUAGUUUGCCUCGCGACGACCCAGAGCGUUUGUCAAUAGAAAAUUAGAAAUAAGAAAUGCAUUAAUUGCUUGGUUGGUUGUGUGUGUGUGUGUGUGUGUGUGUGUGUGUGUGUGUGUGUGUGUGUGUGUGUGUGUGUGUGUGAGAUCCAACAGAACAAUUGUCUUUGCACUUGGAGAGAGAAAAUUGCCUUUUGUCUUCUGGGUGAAUGUGUACCUGGUGCUGCUUGUAGGCAGGUGAGCUUCUAUCUCAACACAGACGUACAUGAGAUAAAUAAUCCCCAUAAAACAUUUAAUCCCAUCAAGUCGUCAGUCUCCUCACGCCUCUUAAAUGGGUUUUUUUUUCUCUCUUCCCUGGCAGAUUCAUUUAGCGGAGCUUACAGUCACCGAUGUCCUGGGAAGACACGGAGGCGUGAAAGAAAAAAGGAAAAACGCGUCUUGAGGAAUGUCAAGUGCAUUAUCAGUCAAAUGGGAUGGUUUUUUUGUGGGGGGAAUCAUGUCAGAUGAUUUGGAGAAGGUGCUGUGAUCGCCGGUGUCGAUUUCAGUCUAAUCUUCUCAUAAUGCCUUUUUGUUUACCUCAGGAGCAGAUUUACUUUCCUGCCCUGAAUCGAUGUAUCCAGCUCAUCGUCGGUCUCCUUUCCUUUUAACCUGCGAGUGGGAGCUCCUCUCCCUCCACGCGGACCGUGGAGCUGUUGUUAGAUAAUACUGUUGAGAACUACAUUCCCGCAGCCUCGGGGGCGACGGUCACAUGAUCCGAAUGGAAGCAACUUUAAUUACUGAAUGUGACGCCGCCUGCUGCCUGCGAGUUGAGGUGACAUUUCCCAGUCCGCGCGUCAUCUGCGCCCUCGAAAGGUGAAGAGUCAGUAACUCUGGAUCGGCUGUGAGAGGCUGAAGGCGGACACGACGGUCAGCGAGCUCCGCGCUCACUCCCCGUCUGUCACUCACAAGGAGGCGAGCCAAGGAACCUUUGCAGUUUGUUUUUUUUUAUUUACCCCAUCCCCCCUGCGCGGUUGGCACAAACUCUGUCCUUGUUCUCAUCCAAACCGUUCCACAAUUAAACAAUGCUGUCUGCCAGGAAGCAUUCCCAUGGCAACCAGACGUGCCCCUGAUUGUGCUUCCUUUUUUCUCUGUCACAUACAAGACAUUUUGGCCAAUUAAGAGGUGUGUGUGUGUGUGUGUGUGUGUACACGUUUGUGUGCAGAGUUGCUUGACAUGAGGAAUGGCCCUCGUCCACUCCUAAACACAUAAUAUUUAAGUAUCGCGUGGAGACCGACCGAUAUUGGAUUUAUGGGCGCCGAUAUUACAGAGCGAAACAAUUAUGAUAGCGAUAUAUCGGCCGAUAUUCUUCAUACAUAUUUUUAUAAACAUAUUUUUUGCAUUGAUGAUCUCCGAUAGGCCCAUAUGAACCGGUCGGGCUCUGGUGUGGCGUAUGAAUCCACGAGACAGGUCAGGAUUCAGUGGUAGCAUGCGUGUCUUAGUGUCUUAGGUCUGAGUAAUUUCCAAAGUGUGUGUGUGUGUGUGUGUGUUUCAGGAUCCCCCCAACAGCUCUGGCACUAGUUGAAUUUUCAACACAGAAAUCACUUUGUCAUGUCACAGCAACUGUUACAUUUUUUCUGAAAACCGUGGAUAUUGUUUUUUUCUUUGGGGGGGGGCGAUACGCUUCAUGUAUGUUUUAGCGCAUGCCAGUUUGUGUCAGUGCAAGUCAGUGCGAGUCGGCCGGCUCGUUCCAGCUCUGUCCCCCCCUGCAGGAAGGGUGAACCACAAAAGGCUCAGGACAGGUACAGGGCCACAUGUCGAGGAAGACGAGUGCCUUAUUUUCCUCCACGCUUGGAAUAAAUGUGUGUUUGCGGUGUUAAAAAUGCACAUCGAAUUCGACUAAACUCGUCACCGCUGGAGACAAGUUUUCCGACUUCGCCGCCCGAGAACUAAUUAGCUUGUUUUUUUCUAUGCUCCGCAGUGUGAUCCCAACACCUGGAUCCAUGUGUUCCUCUGUUACGCCCUUCCUGUCACAACACGGCAACGCGGGAAAUGAGAUUUAUAUCAAUUAGCAUAAUAUGCAAAAAGAUCCCCAGCGAAAGCUGCCAGAUGUCCCCAAAAGAGGUGAAGUCUACUCAUUCAUUUAUGUAUUUUGUGUGUCUGUGUGUGUGUGUGUGUGUGUGUGUGUGUACGGUGAUCAUUACCCACAGGACAUGCAGCCUUACCAGCGUAAAAAACCUUACAUAACAUUACAUCUGCCUCCAGUCAUACAUUAUGUUCACACACACACACACACACACACACACACACACUGGCGAUCAGGGGGAAGAAAACCACCAGAUUCCAGAUUCAUGGCUUAUUAAAUUAUUCUGACAGGGAUUAUGUAACUUACUUUCUCUGGCACACGCUCCUUUAUGACCAAACCCGCUCGUUUCACUCAGUCCCGAGCCGAGCAGGCUGCAGCCGUCCCAGUGAAGGACACGGGGUCAAACCAAAGGUGAAAAACACGAGGGGCGUGUGAGGGAGAGGGAGAGGGGGGGCCUAGGAGACUGUUGUGUUUAUUCAUCAAGCUUCAGAGGAGCCUGAUGAAGACCUGCCAGUCUCUUUAGCUCUGCUGGCUUUUCAUCGGACCAUCUGGCAUUUACACCAUAGAGUAAGCUAAGCCACUUAAAACCUCUUUCUACCCCCCCAUUUGUAUUUAUUUAUUUAUUUAUUUAUUAUUUCUUUCUUCUUUCUGCUCCACUUUUCACAAUUCCCCCCAGAUCCGGCUGGACGUGGCAGCACCGACGGGGAAAGGGGAAUGGGUGGACAGCAGGAUGAAAGGAUGUUACAUAAAUGGAGGAGCAGAGCGAAGGGCGAGAGAGGAGAAGUGGGGGCAAAAAACGUGAGGGGAGAUUAUUACCACCACCACCCCAGUCACUAGCGUAUCCAGGGGUAUAGCUGUGUGGGUGAUUAUACAUCCACGCUGUUCUCGGUAACGCCACGGAUUACACACCCGGCCAGACCUAAUCUAUGUGCCCAACAUCUGCCUCGGAUGACACAUGCACACACACGCACACACGCGCACACACACGCACACACACGCAAUCAGACAUAAUAUGCCUACACUGCUAAAAUGAGGCAGGGGGGAGGGGGAGGAGGAGAAGAGGGGGGGGGGAUGGGCAAAUUGAAUGGGAAGGGGUCGUCACGUCCAUGU
ensembl:lncRNA